GCCCCGGUCCGGGGCGGCCGGGAGCGCCCCGGCCCGGGACGCCGGGGAUCAGGCCGCGUACUCGGAGACCCGCUGGUCGCGGUCGGCGGCCGCGGUG
rnacentral:tRNA from 1 species